UUUGUGCCUGGUUCUGCGUGAGAUGUCAACAUCACUCCAAACCACGACAACCUUGAAAGAGAGAGAAGCAAACAAAUUAUUCUUUUUCUUCUUCUUCACCUCCACAGUGCUUGUGCAAAGUAGGGUUUGUUUCAGAUUUUUGGCUAAAUUUGGCAAAAUGCGGCUUUUUAAUUAUAUAUACUCUAUUUUAGCAAAACCCAUGUUUCUUUUCCUUUUUCCCCCAUUUUCCAUUUACAGAAAUGCUUUAUGAUCAGUAGAACACUUGCAGAAGAUCUGCAGAAUCGAAAGAUUUUUGUGUCUGAAGAGAAAACGACCGUGGACUGAUAAAUUGGCUUGUUUGAUGUAAAGGGUCGGAUUUUCCCAGAAAAUGAUGAGAAAGAAAAUUCCUGAUCAAGAAGAUUUACAGGACAAGGGCUGAGCUCUAAUGGCUCUCUGUGUUUUCUCAAGGUUCGUUGGUAGCUAGUGAUCAUUGGUUGCAAAGAUAAUGGACAUGAAAUAUUUAUCAAACAAACCCUUAAAUAAGGAUCAAACUCUUCAAAGAUAUUGGGUUGUUUGGCUACUGUAACUUUCUUUGGCAUGAGUAUUAUGGAGGAGAAGAAAGAUCAAUUAAUUCAUCCUGCAUUGGGAUAUGAUGUAUGCAAUAUAUUCCACGCAGUAUUAUUUUUAUACUUUGUGUUCGAAU